UUUCAAUCUCUCCCUCAGCACCAAAACUCGCCCUCUCUCUAAUCUCUCUCAAACCUUACUGAAUCAGGCCCUCUCUCAAAACCUCGCCGCCACGGCUCCUCCUCCGGCCACGAACGCCGCCGGCCACUCCUCUCCCGACUCCCUCGACUCUAUUUCACUCAAGGUUGGCCACACACACACGGACCCACACACGCCGCCCCUCUCCCGACUCCCUUCAUCUUCUCCCUCAUCUCCGGCCACACCGGCGCCCCAUAUCCCUCUCUUUCUCGGCGGCAGCAACCGCCGCCACGGUCACCGCCUCAUCUCCCUUACCCCUCUGCUCUCGCCUCCUCUCUGACCCAGAACGGCGACGGUGAGGGACUCCGCCGUCUGAGCCCUAGCCCCAAUCACGGCUCCUCUCAAUUUCUGGCAACGACGCCGCCCCUACGCAGCGCUGCCUCCAUCCGUUCUCCCUCAUCUCAAAGCCUCGCCGGACAGACUACAGCAGCAGCCGUGCCACCGCAGUCGACGCCCGGUCUCCCUCCAUCUCUUCCCUCUGAACUCCGGUGAUAAAACAAAGCCCUGAGGCUGUUGCCCACCUUCCCUGACUCGACUCAGCAGCUACAACAACACCCACCCGACUCAACUCGGUACCCACCGACUCAGUUCGACUCAAGCAUCACAAAAUAGAGUUCAAAAGCUAAAAUCCAGAUUAUUCAAGUCAAAGUUCUUUUCUUUAAAACUAUUUGUGAAGUUGUCAUUCCUUUUGAAAUCUUUGUUCUGCUAUACACAAAAUAUACAUAUAUGCAGCUGUUAUUCAUGUACGGCAUUUUGGUUUCAUUUGAAAUAUAUGUGUAUAUAUAUCGAGAUGAAUGUAUGUGUGUUAUAGCUGAAAUUAGAACUAAAGUUACAGAAAUUUAAAAGUUAAAAACCUUUGGAAAACUUGCUGAUGGUUGGUUGCUUGAAAUUUGGUGGAGGCUUGAAUUAGCUCAGCACUUGAAACUCCUCUUUCUUGCGAAAUGUUGAUUGAAUUUGUUAGAAAUGAAGAAGGAUGGAUUGAUUUUGCAGAGAGUGUUUUGUGAUGAUGUUAAAGGGGCAUAGUUGGUGGAAAGUAAGGAGUGAUGGUAAGUUUGGACUUUGAAAUUAUACAAAACUACUGUUUUUUGAUUUGUCUGUUUACCGCAUUAUAUCGUGUUACUAGUGUUUCUAUCGUCCCAAUGUCGUUUGUAUUGAGGCAAAUUAUAAUAAUGACGAUACCUCGGUGUUUAUUCGUUCACUGAACUGAUUGCCAUGAUAGGGAUGCGAGUGUUUGAGAUAGUAUAUGUCUGCAUUAAAUUUCUUUUAUUGAUGCUUUGAAUAGUUUAUGAUUUCAUACUUUUGUUGUUUUUGAAUUUGUUAGUGGAGUUUUUCUCAUAAUCUCUUGCUGUUCACAUUCCAGGUUAACGAAUACGCACUAUUGGCUUUAUUUUGCUGAAGAAAAAUGUUCGGAAGCAACCGUAAGUUCUGUUUCCCUUAACUUAGUCGGUUCUUAUUUGAUUGUUUUGUAUUGCCACAUUGGUUGUUCUCCUCUAUUAUCUUCCUGUGGAUAACUCUCCGCUUUUUACCUUUGAAUAUAUCCCUUGACAACAAAUUCCUAAAUUAAAUCUGUUAUAUGGUUAGGUAAUGAUAAUAACAUUGGCUACUUGAGAUCAAAUGUUUAAUUUUUUUAUUUGAGAUUUGGGAGAGUACACAAUUAAAAAUAUUUUAUAUGUUCCUGGGUUAUGCUUGUACAUCCUGAUUUUUUCUGGGUUAUGCUUGUACAUCCUGAUUUUUCCUUUGUUCUGUUACAGCUUUUGGGCUGUCAUCUAGUUUUUAUUAAAACCCAUGCCGUCCACCUUUACGACUAUUUUUGGUGGACGGAGGGAGUAUUUUUUUAUUUCUUUUUCUUUUUCUCUAUUUAUAAAAAUUGUAGUAUAAUUUAACUAAUGAUAAAAUAUUUCCUUUCAG
rnacentral:lncRNA from 1 species